UACGUAGGGUGCAAGCGUUAUCCGGAAUUAUUGGGCGUAAAGAGCUCGUAGGCGGUUUGUCGCGUCUGCUGUGAAAACCGGAGGCUCAACCUCCGGCCUGCAGUGGGUACGGGCAAACUAGAGUGCGGUAGGGGAGAUUGGAAUUCCUGGUGUAGCAGUGGAAUGCGCAGAUAUCAGGAGGAACACCGAUGGCGAAGGCAGAUCUCUGGGCCGUAACUGACGCUGAGGAGCGAAAGCGUGGGGAGCGAACAGG
rnacentral:rRNA from 1 species